UCCCUUCUGGCUCAGAUGGUAAAGCGUCUGCCUACACUGCAAGAGACCCGGGUUCGAUCCCUGGGUAGGGGA
rnacentral:tRNA from 1 species